rnacentral:misc_RNA from 1 species
CCUAUUGAUCGCCAUAAAUCAUUUGAUGAGGAUGAUUUCUUAAACAAGCCUGUUGUUGUAAAGAAACCUGUUACAGCUCCUACAAAUGUAACGUCAUAUUCCAUUGCAGACCUGCAGAUAGCUACUGGCAGCUUCACUACUGAUAAUCUUCUUGGUGAGGGGUCUUUUGGUCGUGUUUAUCGAGCUCAUUUUGAUAAUGGGAAGGUUCUUGCUGUGAAGAAAAUAGAUUCAUCCACUCUUACCAAUGACAUGACUGAAGAUUUUAUGGAGCUGGUUUCAAAAAUCUGUGAGUUAAAUCACCCAAAUGUGACAGAGCUCNNNNNUAUUGUUCAGAGCAUGGGCAGCACCUGCUGGUCUAUGAGUUCCAUAAAAAUGGGUCGCUACAUGACUUCCUGCAUCUGUGGGAUGAGUACAGCAAGCCUUUGAUAUGGAAUUCCCGCGUCAAGAUAGCUUUGGGGACAGCUCGUGCAUUAGAGUACCUGCAUGAAGUAUGCUCACCAUCUAUUAUUCACAAAAACAUCAAGUCAUCAAACAUCCUGCUGGGCUCUGAGCUCAAUCCUCACCUUUCAGACUCUGGCCUAGCCAGCUUUCUUCCAAAUGCAGAUCAGGCAUUGAACCAUGAAGCAGGAUCUGGAUAUGGCGCACCUGAGGUAGCCAUGUCUGGCCAAUAUACUCUCAAGAGUGAUGUUUACAGUUUUGGAGUUGUCAUGUUAGAGCUUCUUACCGGACGUAAACCAUUUGACAGCUCAAGGCCAAGAUCCGAGCAAUCUUUGGUUCGAUGGGCCACACCUCAGCUCCAUGACAUUGAUGCGCUAUCUAAAAUGGUUGAUA